GACGAACGCUGGCGGCGUGCUUAACACAUGCAAGUCGAACGAUGAAGCUGGGGCUUGCUCCGGUGGAUUAGUGGCGAACGGGUGAGUAACACGUGAGCAAUCUGCCCUUCACUCUGGGAUAACUGCGGGAAACUGUAGCUAAUACCGGAUACGAGACCUUGGGGCAUCCCAGGGUCUGAAAAGAAUUUCGGUGAAGGAUGAGCUCGCGGCCUAUCAGCUAGUUGGUGAGGUAAUGGCUCACCAAGGCGACGACGGGUAGCCGGCCUGAGAGGGUGACCGGCCACACUGGGACUGAGACACGGCCCAGACUCCUACGGGAGGCAGCAGUGGGGAAUAUUGCACAAUGGGCGAAAGCCUGAUGCAGCAACGCCGCGUGAGGGAUGAAGGCCUUCGGGUUGUAAACCUCUUUUAGUAGGGAAGAAGCGCAAGUGACGGUACCUACAGAAAAAGCACCGGCUAACUACGUGCCAGCCGCCGCGGUAA
rnacentral:rRNA from 1 species